UAAUCAGAGUUGGUUUAGGAAAACUAAGAAGAGCUAUUCAGUUUCAGUGACCUUGCUUCUUCUUCUAUCGUCAUAGACUCAUAGACAAGGCUUUCAGCCAUUCGGAGGUAAAACAUCCACAAACUUGCAGGCU